ACCGCUUGUCCAUCCGCUUCCACUCUGGGCUGCAGCGGCACUCGCGGCCCCGAGCCCCGCGUAGAGCGGGACCCGGGGUCCGCCUCUACCUCAGGUGGACAGUUCUGCAAGCCAGCUUUGACCAUAGAAACAAACAAGGGCAGCACCAAAGGCAAUCACAGAACAAGCAUAAAGAACCUGCACUGUGAACAACCUCAUGGUGUGGAGUCACUCAUCCACCCUGAACCACCCUCUGCACUAUUAUAGGAGAAUGAACUACUUUCUUCAUGGAAAUGUGCUUUGGUCUGCCAAAAGUUGAGCCUAUGUUCUAACUCAGUGGUUCCCAACAUUUUGUCUCCUAAAUAAAAACUUUAGAAAUCUGGA